GGGCCUCAAAAUCUGAUUUUUCCGCCAAAAUGUUAAUUCUCCUCAUUUUCCUUGAAUGACCUGACACGGGAUCCAACAACUCAGUCGGGUCCUCAUUUUCGGUCCAUAUUAAACCCUAAUCAUUCUUCUCUCAUACUCUUCGAACAUCGUUCUUCUUCAGCAGCUCUAGGGUUUCUUCAUCUUCAAUCUUACAUCUCCCUCUCAUCCAUCUCAAAAUUGAAUUCCUUCACCAAGGUUGGAGUUCAUAUCAACGCUUCAAAUCAAGCAGAUCCAGGUAUUUAUAGUGCGCGACAGGAAGGAUUUCUUGGUUCACCCAAAAGGCUCCUCAUUGAAGAUGUGAUUGCACGCUCCCAGCCUUCCCAGGCGGAUAUCUAAUCCCAACCUUCUCAAGUUCCCUGUUAGUGGUUCUUUGGCCUCUAUCCAUCAGAACUCCAAUAGACACCACUUUUCUUCCAUCUUCCCAUUUUGAAAAGAGAAAGAUGUGCGUAUCCACCGCUCCACCGCUGUACCGGCGGCACCUUCAGCCACUACUGCAACGCGUCAUGUCGAGAGUGUGUCGCAUGUAUAAUGAUGUGUUUGCUGGUGCUCUUCUUCAUUAGUGGCUGCUUAAUUAAUGUUCUUCUUAACCUGGAUUAUGCUUGGUUUGUUGUUUUGGUGACAUGGCGACAAUUGUGACGGUGGUUACGGUGGUUCGCGUUGGUACGAAUCUGUUAUUGAUGUUGAACCCUUUCAACCAUCGCCAAUCUUGAUCCUCACGGGUACGAAUCUGUUAUUGAUGUUGAACCCUUUCAACCAUCGCCACUCUUGAUCCUCACGGGUAUGCGUUUUCACAGAAUAUUAAUAGGUUUGUUUUUUUGGUGAUCUUCGAUGGCUUUUCUUUUCUGAUAGUUAAAUGUUGUCGACGCCAAGGUACGAAUCUGUUAUUGAUGUUGAACCCUUUCAACCAUCGCCACUCUUGAUCCUCACGGGUAUGCGUUUUCACAGAAUAUUAAUAGGUUUGUUUUUUUGGUGAUCUUCGAUGGCUUUUCUUUUCUGAUAGUUAAAUGUUGUCGACGCCAAGAUACGAAUCUGUUAUUGAUGUUGAACCCUUUCAACCAUCGCCACUCUUGAUCCUCAGAUUUUGAUGUUGAACCCUUUCAACCAUCGCCACUCUUGAUGUGUUCUGCAGAAAAACGUGAUGUUUUCUCAUGGUCGUAGCUGUUUGAUCUCACCAAAGAUCUGUGUAAUUAGCACCACUCUCAGAUCCCCAAUUUCAUUAAUUACCUCGCUUCGUGUUAGCUCUUUCCCCUUCCUAUUUACACUAAUUUCUAAUUUCUAUACAUAUAGUAUGUCUCUGUAUUCUGUCUAGGGCCUUUAUAAACUACAUUGGUGAAAAUGUAAAUUGGCUCUGGCAAAGAUGAUUGUUAUACAAAUUGGAAAAGGUAUGGUGCAUCAUGCUACAAGAGGGGAAAGAAAAGUGAAGGAAGAAGAGCUCUGGAUGAAAAACGUUGCACUAUACCCUGCUAACCAGUGGGACUUAGUAAGACACCGCUUGUGCUUGUGCUGAGCAGGUACCUUUCAGUUGGUUUGAAUUUUGAACAUUUAUUAAGAUACUGUUAGAAUUGCAUAUUAAGCACUUAAUAUUGUUUACAUACAGACAUAGUUAAAAUUGCAUAUAAGUUUGACCAGUUAUAUAGACAAAAGUGCAUAUUCCUCUUAAUUAGGAUGAUCCUUUUCUAUUUGAGACCUAGAAAAGUCCUUAGUUAAUGGUACUGGAACAAAUAUAUUUCAAAGGUCAAACACAUACCCACUGAUUAUCCUUGAUUCAAGGUAAAUCUGUGUUUCUAAUUUGUAUUUGAUUGCCCUUUAAACCUGUGCGACCAUAUUGCUUUUUUCUUUCUUUCAAGAAUUAGGGUUUCUAGGUGACGGGGUGAUGGCAGGGAUAUGAGGGUUGGGUAGCGGUGACAUCGAGGAUGAUGGUGGUGUUUAUAGUUUUGAUAAAGGUUUGUAAGCAACCGAGCAUUCUUUUUUCGCUAAUUGUGAUUCUAAUUUUCACUUAUUUUGAUUCUAAUCUGUGGUGGUAGAUUGAUGAGUUAAUUUGAUAAAAUAUCAUCAAAUACCUUGACUUUGAUCUUUGAUGUAGACUUAGCUUUGGCAAGGUAACUAGAAUGUAGUGAGUAUUCUUCAGCAGCUGAAAGUGGGGGCCCACCGACAUCACCAAAGCCUAGAAGUUUAGCGAAAUUAAACCCAUUUUGUGCUUGAGAAGUUUUCUUUAAACGUUCCUUAUGUCGCUGAUCUGGAUCCUUGAUUAGAGACACGAAAGCUGGAUCAAGAUAUGAAUCCAAAAAUGAAGAGUUCCUGCUUAAUUUGCACAUAUUUCACAAUUUUGAAUAUAAUUCAACUAAAAUUAUGUCAACUAAAGUGAGUUUUUCAGGUAACCAACAGUCUAACCAAUCUACGAUCAUUGGCAGGAACAUCUACUGAGGCUCGCAGAGAUUUUGAAAUGGUCUUUUUCAUGUUGGGUAAUGGUUUUAUUCUUAUUUUUCUUUCAUCUAUAAUUCGUUUCGCCAUUUUUAUCACCACCAUCAGCAAGAAUCUUUGUAAUCGCAAUUUCAAAGAUACGGUUUGAAUUUUGAACAUUGAUUAAGAUACGGUUAGAAUUGUAUAUUAAUCACUUAAUAUUGUUUACUCUACAGACAUAGUUAAAAUUGCAUAUAAGUUUGACCAGUUAUAUAGACAAAAAUGCAUAUUCCUCUUAAUUAGGAUGAUCCUUUUCUAUUUGAGACCUAGAAAAGGCCUUGGUUAAUGGCACUGGAUAUUAAAAAUAUUGUUUAAAAGGAUAUUAAAACAAUAUUGUUUAAAAGGAUAUUAAAAAAGGUUCACUUUCAGAGGCGGACCUACCUUAGGGGAAGGGGUAGCUUCCGCUACCGCUUGGCGAUCCGGCGGUAGUUUAAAUUUUAGAAAAAUUUGACCUUUUUUUGAUAUUUUUUCGAUUUCGUUACCGUUUUUUUGACCUUUUUUGAUCCUUGAUUAGAGACAUGAAAGCUGGAUCAAGAUAUGAAUCCAAAAAUGAAGAGUUCCUGCUCAAUUUGCACAUAUUUCACAAUCUUGAAUAUAAUUCAACUAAAAUUAUGUGACCUAAAGUGAGUUUUUCAGGCAACCAACAGUCUAACCAAUCUACGAUCAUUGGCAGGAACAUCUACUGAGUUAUUUAUUAAUUUUAUUUAUACGCGGAGUAUUGAUGGUCAAACAAGGUAUGUUGUUGUUGGAUGGCAUAAUAUCAUUGAAGCCGAACAUAUUUCGUUAGGUGAUCAUUGUUUUUUCAAUUGGUCAAGAACGACAUCUAAGUUAUUGGUUACGAAGCUCCAACAAGCAGAAAUGUUAGUGUAAUAGGCUAUUUAAUUUAUGUCACUCCAAAAAACAUAUUUUCUUUGUUUACUUAUCGUUUUGUUAAUUUCGAUCUAUCGUACGACGCUUUCUGAUGUCUGUCGUUAUGGACAUGCAAAAACCAACUAAACUAUGUAGAUAGGAUAAGUCGGAUAUCG